GGGCCCGCACAAGCGGUGGAGCAUGUGGUUUAAUUCGAUGCAACGCGAAGAACCUUACCAGGGCUUGACAUACUGCGAAUCUUUUUGAAAGAAGAGAGUGCCUUCGGGAAUGCAGAUACAGGUGGUGCAUGGCUGUCGUCAGCUCGUGUCGUGAGAUGUUGGGUUAAGUCCCGCAACGAGCGCAACCCUUGUUUUUAGUUACCAAUUCGUUGGGUUUUCUAGAAAGACUGCCGGUGACAAACCGGAGGAAGGUGAGGAUGACGUCAAGUCAGCAUGCCCCUUAUGUCCUGGGCUACACACGUGCUACAAUGGUUAGGACAAAGAGUCGCGAGCUCGCAAGAGUCAGCUAAUCUCGUAAACCUAGCCUAAGUUCAGAUUGUAGGCUGCAACUCGCCUACAUGAAGUUGGAAUC
rnacentral:rRNA from 1 species